rnacentral:rRNA from 1 species
AUACGUAGGUGACAAGCGUUAUCCGGAUUUACUGGGUGUAAAGGGCGUGUAGGCGGUUUAGCAAGUCAGAAGUGAAAUUCCCGGGCUUAACUUGGGCGCUGCUUCUGAAACUGCUUUACUUGAGUGCUGGAGAGGAUAGUGGAAUUCCUAGUGUAGCGGUAAAAUGCGCAGAUAUUAGGAGGAACACCGGUGGCGAAGGCGGCUAUCUGGACAGUAACGGAAGCUGAGGCGCGAAAGCACGGGGAGCAAACAGGAUUAGAUACCCUGGUAGUCCACGCCCUAAACGAUGAAUGCUAGGUGUAGGGGAGUCAUCUUCUGUGCCGCAGCUAACGCAAUAAGCAUUCCACCUGGGGAGUACGGCCGCAAGGUUGAAACUUAAAGGAAUUGACGGG